ensembl:lncRNA
AAUAGUAUUGGGUGGUAGAGAGAGAGAACAUGAAUAGUAGUGGGCGGUAGAGAGAGAGCAUGAAUAGUAUUGGGUGGUAGAGAGAGAGAGAGAACAUGAAUAGUAUUGGGUGGUAGAGAGAGAGAGAGAGAACAUGAAUAGUAUUGGGUGGUAGAGAGAGAGAGAGAGAACAUGAAUAGUAUUGGGUGGUAGAGAGAGAGAGAGAGAGAACAUGAAUAGUAUUGGGUGGUAGAGAGAGAGAGAGAACAUGAAUAGUAUUGGGUGGUAGAGAGAGAGAGAGAGAACAUGAAUAGUAUUGGGUGGUAGAGAGAGAGAGAGAACAUGAAUAGUAUUGGGUGGUAGAGAGAGAGAGAGAACAUGAAUAGUAUUGGGUGAGAGAGAGAGAACAUGAAUAGUAUUGGGUGGUAGAGAGAGAGAGAGAACAUGAAUAGUAUUGGGUGGUAGAGAGAGAGAGAGACAUGAAUAGUAUUGGGUGGUAGAGAGAGAGAGAACAUGAAUAGUAUUGGGUGGUAGAGAGA